CGCCACGCUGAAGCCGCCGCCGAUGAUGACGCCGACGCCGACGGUAUAAACUCCUACUUCAUAAGCUCCUAGUAAUCCUAUAAACAUUAUUAAAUAAUACUGUUAUUAUAUUUACUUAGGGAUGAAUAUGUAAUUUUCUAAUUUUUUUUCUGAAGACUUUGAGAGAGUGAGAGAUUUAUUUUGUCCCCCCCUCGGCAGUCGGCCACCUCCCAUUAAAUAUAUAUUUAAUUUAUAUUAAACCAAGUGAAAAAUGAAAAAAAUAAAUGAUAAUUUGAAUAUAAUUAUCCAAUUCUAGUCUCUAGACUCUCAAAUCGAUGGUUGUGAAUAACGGGCUAGUAACUUGAAAUAUUUAUGACCGUUGAAUGACUUGAUACUUUCGUGGAUGAUAAAUUGAUAACGGAAGUCUGAUAAUAAUUUUUUUGAUAAGUAAAUAGAUAUUAAAAUCCAAUAAUCGAAUUAAAGUCAACGUCUCAACGGGUUAAAUAACCACAUUGAACCCACUAACCCAAAUGACUUCCUUAAUUACUUGAACGAUCAAUAUCAUUAUUUAAUUAUAAUUCGACUUCAUUUUGACCAAAUCACUCAAUAACUCGAUAUUUAUAGAAAUUCAAAUAUCUAGGUGAAGAAAUUAAAGUAAUUAAUUAUGCCUCCGUAUUAUCCGAUCAACACUCAAGAUCCAAAUCUUAUCUCAUUAACUCUCGGAUUUCCAGAUUUAGGUCCAAAGGCAAAUAAAUACAAAAUACUAUGUUUUAAAAAAAAAUAGAUCCGGACCUAUUUACACUUGGGAUGUAAUUGUGUAAAAGAUCUGGGUCUAAUCUGAAAUUUCGAGAUAUUAUAUAUUUUUUGAUUUAACAUGUCUAAUUUUUUUAUUUUACAUAUCCAUAAAAAUCAAUUGAUCGUACCAAAGAGAAAGCGACUCUUUAACCACUUUCUCUUUGGCAUAAUCAUUCAUCUGUAUGAUAGGCAACAACAAGUGUAGCACAGAUAUUUAAUGUAACGUGUUUUAUUCUGAAGGUCAGUAUUUAAAGACCUUCUGUUAUUCUUAGGAUUGGACCUGGCCGGUGGACCUGGGUAUGUUUCAUAUUAUUGGGUCACUCUACUGGAGCAAGAGUAUCUGCCAUAAAACAAAUUAUGGUUGUGGUUGAUAGGUUAUCAAAAUAUGUCCAUUUUAGCCCUUUGUCAUCCAAUUUUAAUGCUUCUAAAGUAACUGAAAUUUUUACUAGAGAUGUGGUUAAACUAUAUGGCAUCCCUAGCUCAAUAGAUCGGAUAGAGAUAGGGUAUUCACUUUUAAAUUCUGAAAGGUAACUAAACUGGAUUUUUCUUCUGCUCACCACCCUCAAGCAGAUGGGCAAACCGAGUGUUGGUGUGGUAGCUCGUAGGGUAGGAGCGCACACGCAACUCGCCAAGGUUUUCUAUGCGUCUAUGCGUUCAUGCGAUGACAUUUUAAGCGCAUACGCGCAUAUACGUAAAUAUGCGACAUGUUAUAUUUACAUGUAUUUUUUAUAAUUACCCUUGAUAUUUCCAUAAUAUAUGAAUAAUAUAAUAUAGCAAAAAGUGUUCCAAUGACCAAAUAAAGUUUAAAAGUCUAAAUAGUAAAUAGAAAUUGCAUAACAAAGUCUAAAAUUAUAUAAUUAAGAUUAACAAUAGUCUAAGCCCUAAGGCUCUAAGCUCUAAGGAGCUUGCUCAACAUCCUCUUCAACUUCAGCUCCUCUCCUAUUCCUUGUUGAUGGUUCAAUAGGUUCAUUGACACCCAUAGCUACUUCAAUAGACGCCCAAGUUAAACCUUCUUCACCAUAAACAAAUUCAUUUGAAGGACCGUCUUCACCGGUCAUCCAUUCACUACUCCAAUUCAAAUCUUCAACGACAAUGGGGUCUAAGGCAUCCCUAAUUCUGAUUGGACAAACAUAAAAAUGACAAUGUUAUUUUAUUGGCAUCGUCAAAGAAAAUCAGUACUGAUUCAGUAGGAUGUUCAUGCCAAAAAUAGUAUUUUUUAGCAUGUUCAUGACCCUAGUUGAAAUCAGUAGUGAUGACCUAUGUUUAUCACUUUCAACUAAGACUGUCAACUAAUACUGAUUUCAUGACCCUAGUUGAAUCACUUUCAACUAAUUUUUUUUUUAAACAUUUUUAUAACCUUUUGUGAUGGAGAUGACCUGCUGGAGAUGGCCUGCUCGCGUCUGGAGAUGUACUGAUCUCGCUGGAGCUCGCAUCUGGAGAUGCUUGCUCGCGGAGAUGGCUACUGGUGGUGGCCGACAGAAGGGAGGGUUAUAGGUUUUGGGUUUUGGGUUUUUUUUAAUUUUUUGUCUAUGGGUUACGGGUAAUAGGGUUUCACCCGACCCAACCCGUUGACCCGGCCCGAAACGCAUAGAACAUCUAUGCGGGGGUCUGGAAAACCGCAUGGUCGUUUAUGCGGCGCAUAAACGACGCAUAGAAUACCAGGCAACUCGCAAGUCCUUACUUUGCUUCCAAACUUUCAACCCCCUCCCCAAUUGGAACAUGGAAGGCAUUUAUAGCAUUUUUCUACGAGGCUCCUGAACUUCGUGGGCUUUCUCUCGCCCGGCCUAAGGACGCGUAUGGGCCUGUUGGCCAUUGGGCGAUCCAUGGUACCAACACCGAGGUUGUGAACAGAACAUUAGAGAUGUAUCUAAGGUCCUACUGUCAUGAGAACUCUAACAAGUGGUUGAAGUUACUACCUUGGGCCGAAUUAUAGUACAACUCUAGCUAUCACUCUUCUUUAGGGAUGACACCUUUCAAAGUAUUAUAUGAUAAAGAAGCAACUGAAAUUCCUCAUUAUAAAAAGGGUGAAUCAACUAUCCAAGCAGUAGAGGUGGAAUUAAAAAUCAGGGAAGCUACACUAGACUCGAUUAAGAAGAAUAUAAUGCUAGCUCAAUCAAGAAUGAAAAACCAGGCAGAUAAAAACAGAACACAUCUGAAAUUUGAAGAAGGGGAAUGGGUAUUAUUAGUUCAUCUCAAACCAUACAUGCAAGAAUCCAUUGCUCACAGGUAGGGUGUCAAACGAGCCGAGCCAAGUUUUUGUUUAUAGAGCCGGGCUCGGGCUCGUUAAGAUAUUAUCUGGGCUCGGGCUCGAGCUCGAGCUCGGCGAGCUCAAGCUCAGCUCGUCAGAGAUUUUCCAGGCUCGAGAAUUAAAAGAAAUUUUUACUUAGAGACAUGGAGGAUCGAACCCGAGACCUCUCACAUGCUUGACAAACGUUUUAUCAUCUGUGCUACACCUCCAUUCUCUUUAAAUUUAAUAUUUUUUUAGUUUUUUAUACUUCCUAAGCUCGAAUUAAAAGAAAUAAUUAUUUGAAGACAUAGGAGAUUGAACUCAUAAUCUCUCAAAUACUAAACAAACCUUUUACUACUCUGCUACACCUUUAUUCUUUUUAAAUUUAAUAUUUUUUUAAUUAUUCAUACUUACAAACGAGCCCUCACGGAGCUUAACGAGCCGAGCUUGGCAUGUCCAAGCUCGGGCUCGGCAUGUCCAAGCUCGGGCUCGGCUCAUUAAGCUAAACAAGCUUGAACCUCGGGCUCGGCUCGUUGGGCUCAUGAGCCCGUCGAGCCGGGUUUUAUUUGACACCCUACCCACAAAUUACACAAUAAGUUCUAUAAAAAAUACUUCGGGCCAUAUAAAAUCAGCAAGAAGAUCAACGAAGUUGCUUACGGAUUAGAACUACCAAAAGGCAGCAAAAUACACCUUUCAUUCCAUAUAUCAAAGCUCGGAAAAUUCCAAGGAAAUCUUCCUGAGGAGAAUACACAAAAACAACCGAUCAUUUCUGUCAAUAACAAACCAAUAAUAUACCCAAUAUCAAUUCUAAACAGGAGAACUAUUUUUCAAGGAGGAAGAAAGAAAGAGCAAGUACUUGUAAAAUGGCAUGGCACAAUCCCGGAGGAUGCAUCGUGGGAAUCAGAAACUGAUUUGAGAAAGUCGUUUCCUUCUGUGAACAUUGAGGACAAUGUUGGUUUUCAAGGGCGGAGAGAUGAUACGAGGCCAAUUGAUUUCCAAGAAGUAUGCACCGACGUCUAGAACAUUAGAAGGGAAGCAUUGCCGGAGGACGAGAACAUUGACCUAAUCGUCAGAUUUGGGGAAGAUCGUGAGCGGAGACAGUCGAGCGAACAUGAACCUGGCCCAAGCCAGAUGUCUGCACGCAAGAACCGCACUCCUGGCUGGACGAGGGAUUAUCUCAUGGGAUGAUUCAACGGAGCCCCCAAUUUAUUGGGAAUUUUAUAAAGAAGUCUUUAAGUUUUAAUCAGAUCUGGAGAAAUUUAAUCAAUCAGAUAUCAUCAAACAACC
rnacentral:lncRNA from 1 species